GUUCUACUUCCUCCAUCCAACAAAGUAUGUCUCAACUUUGACUAAAUUUGAAUGCAUCUAUACACCAAGUCAUGUCUAUAUACAUCGAAAUUUUGACAAACUUGAGUUAUCUUUUGUUGGACGGAGGGAGUAUGUU
rfam:Brachypodium distachyon strain Bd21 chromosome 5, whole genome shotgun sequence.